UACAGAGGGUGCGAGCGUUGUCCGGAAUCACUGGGCGUAAAGGGCGCGUAGGUGGCGGCCCAAGUCCAUGGUGAAAGCUCGAUGCUCAACAUCGAGUCGGCCACGGAUACUGGGUUGCUGGAGCACUGUAGGGGCAGAUGGAAUUCCGGGUGUAGCGGUGGAAUGCGUAGAGAUCCGGAAGAACACCGGUGGCGAAGGCGGUCUGCUGGGCAGUUGCUGACACUGAGGCGCGACAGCGUGGGGAGCAAACAGG
rnacentral:rRNA from 1 species